GUCGAGAUGACGAUGCCGCUGUAGAGU
rnacentral:rasiRNA from 1 species